UACAGAGGUCUCAAGCGUUGUUCGGAUUCAUUGGGCGUAAAGGGUGCGUAGGUGGCGGGGUAAGUCAGGUGUGAAAUUUCGGAGCUUAACUCCGAAACUGCAUUUGAUACUGCCUUGCUUGAGGACUGGAGAGGAGACUGGAAUUCCCGAUGUAGAGGUGAAAUUCGUAGAUAUCGGGAGGAACACCGGUGGCGAAGGCGGCGGCCUGGGUUGACACUGACGCUGGAGGCGCGAAAGCGUGGGGAGCAAACGGG
rnacentral:rRNA from 1 species